AUGAUAAAAACGGGUAAAUAUUUUAAACAAAAACAAAACUGUAAAAUAAAAAAAAAAUUAAAAAUAAUACUCUUAGAUUUUUGAGACUACCAGAGCACCUACAAUAUAUUUCAAAACGUUAUCCCACAGACGAAUAGACGAUCACCACUUGGGCAGUCAAAAUUAUGAAUAAGUAAACAACGUAUAAGCUACCUUGAAUGGUGGUGGUAAACAAAUUAAUGGUUUAUAAUACUAAUGGUCUUAUAAUAUGAACAUAUGCGGACAUGGAUGGCCCCGGGUCUUAUCCAAACUCACUAUGAUAUGAGUACACGUUGCACGUAGCAAUAUCAAGGUUAACUCAGAGAAUGACGAGAAAUGCCAGCACCAUUUACGGAGAGAUCCAGCAACAACUGCAGGGCCAAUUACAUACAGCCGGAACGGUGCAUAUGCUGUCUAAUGUGGACUAAUUUCACAUAGGAAUUGUCCUGAAAAAAUAAAGGAUGGAAAAAUUUAAAAAACAAUUAGGGAUUGGAAGAUUUUUUAUAAAGAGAACAUUAUAUGAUAAAUUUCAGGAGUUAAUUUACAAAAAGGAGAAAAUUACUUUAUACAUUAUAUUAUAACCUAAAAAGGUUUUCUACACAGAGAAAAUUGUUGGAUAUAGGAUUUAAAUUACAAAGAGGAGAACAUUACUUUACAAAUAAUACUAUCUUGGAAGAUAUUUUCAUGAAGAGAACAUUAUAUGAUAUUCAAUGUAUGACAUCUUCAAACUGCAAAACUGUAUCAUCAUUAAUUAAAAACGAUUGCUGUGAAUUUCGAAUUGAGUAGUUUAUGGUGGAUUUUUGUCAUUUAUCAUGCGGUUUCUUAUAAGACUUUUUUACUGCAAUUCCAUAUAUUUACUUACACGACGCUGUAUUGAAAUUAAUGAUUUUCCGGUUGAUUUGAACAAAAUUUCCAUAAAUACAGUUCAAGGAGGAUAUCCAGAUAAAUAAAACAACCCUCUUUUGGUUUGGCCAUGCAUACUAAGUGCACGGGGUCAGCUAGAAAGAAAGCCAAUGAGCCAGUCUACACAUUUUUCCUACAUAUUAGUGUAAUUUUUAAUUGGGAGCAGUCUGUUUAAGUUGUUUAAGACCAAUUAGCUGAAAGUAUAGGUAAUAACUUUUGAAACUGUAUUUAUAAUUUAGUAAUUACUGUUAUAUAUUAUGGUAUGCAUUACAGGGUUAACAGUAAAUGAAAUACAUGUAUUAGUGAUACAUAACUGUGUUAAAUUUUCCAAAGUAACUUGUAUCUUGUAUUUUAGUUACCCUUUUUGAAAUAACUUUUAAUUAACAAUAAAAUACAACAUACUUUAAUGUUGUAUUAAAUAUUUGUUAAUUCGAACUUUAAAAUUGUUAUGUAUAUUGUAUUCUGUUGAAUUUGUUCUAAAUAAUUCACUAUUGGGAUAAAUGUACACAACUCUAGUCUUAAACAUUAUUAAAAUAAAAUAGAACAAUAAUAUUAUUGUUCAUCGACAAUAUUAUGUUUUAUAUUCUUCUGUGUCAGCCAAAAUAUUAUUUUGAUUGUUUUCCCUAAAAGAUCAUGUUUACCUGGUAAUUAAAAAAAAACUGUAUUGUAAAAGUAAAUUUUAAUUAUCCAAUUUGAUGUAAGAUUUUUUUAUACAUAACGUAUGAAUGUUAAUGUAUACAUGUUGUCUAUA